CGUAGUUGGAUUUCUGGUUGAUAAUUGUGGUCCGUCUAGUCUAACUAGUAUGAGUAUCGCUUAUUAUCUGCCAUCCUAUCAGGGUUCUAGGGUCUCGGCUCUAGGGUUCUGGUUCUUUUACUUUGAAAAAUUAGAGUGUUUAAAGCAAGCUUGCGCGAUGAAUACAUUAGCAUGGAAUAAUAAUAUAGGACUACGGGUUCUAUUUUGUUGGUUUCUAGACCUGAAGUAAUGA
rnacentral:rRNA from 1 species